UUGGUGAGGUAACGGCUCACCAUGGCGACGAUCAGGUAGCCGACCUGAGAGGAUGACCGGCCACAUUGGGACUGAGACACGGCCCAGACUCCUACGGGAGGCAGCAGUGGGGAAUAUUGCGCAAUGGACGAAAGUCUGACGCAGCGACGCCGCGUGAAGGAAGAAGGCCUUCGGGUCGUAAAGUUUUUUUUUUGGGGAGGAAUAAGGGGACGGUACCCAAGGAGAAAGCCCCGGCCAAUUACGUCCCAGCAGCCGCGGUAACACGUAGGGGCCAAGCGUUUUCCGGAAUUACUGGGGUUAAAGGGGGGUUAGGCGGCCGACCAAUUCAAGUGGAAAAAGCCUGGGUUUAACCGAGACAUUCCACAGGAAACUGCUUUGCUGGAGGGCAGGAGAGCGAAGGGGAAUUCUUAGGGAAGCGGGGAAAGGGGUGGUUUUUAGAAGGAACCCCAGGGGGAAAGGGGCCUUCCUGGCAUGUAACGGACGUUGAGGCGGAAAAGGGGGGGAACCAAACAGGAUUAGAUACCCGGGUAUUCCACCCGGUAAACGAGGGUUAUUGGGGGGGGGUGGUUCACCCUAUCCGUGCCGCAGCAAACGC
rnacentral:rRNA from 1 species